UACAGAGGGUGCAAGCGUUGUUCGGAAUUAUUGGGCGUAAAGAGCUCGUAGGCGGCUUGUCGCGUCGGUUGUGAAAGCCCGGGGCUUAACUCCGGGUCUGCAGUCGAUACGGGCAGGCUAGAGUGUGGUAGGGGAGAUCGGAAUUCCUGGUGUAGCGGUGAAAUGCGCAGAUAUCAGGAGGAACACCGGUGGCGAAGGCGGAUCUCUGGGCCAUUACUGACGCUGAGGAGCGAAAGCGUGGGGAGCGAACAGG
rnacentral:rRNA from 1 species